rnacentral:tRNA from 1 species
CGUCCUUGGUAAGGACGAGGUCACCGGUUCGAAUCCGGUUAUCAGCUCCA